rnacentral:rRNA from 1 species
GAUGAACGCUGGCAGCGUGCCUAAUACAUGCAAGUCGAGCGAAUGGAUUAAGAGCUUGCUCUUAUGAAGUUAGCGGCGGACGGGUGAGUAACACGUGGGUAACCUGCCCAUAAGACUGGGAUAACUCCGGGAAACCGGGGCUAAUAACGGAUAAUAUUUUGAACUGCAUGGUUCAAAAUUGAAAGGCGGCUUCGGCUGCCACUUAUGGAUGGAACCGCGUCGCAUUAGCUAGUUGGUGAGGUAACGGCUCACCAAGGCAACGAUGCAUAGCCGACCUGAGAGGGUGAUCGGCCACACUGGGACUGAGACACGGCCCAGACUCCUACGGGAGGCAGCAGUAGGGAAUCUUCCGCAAUGGACGAAAGUCUGACGGAGCAACGCCGCGUGAGUGAUGAAGGCUUUCGGGUCGUAAAACUCUGUUGUUAGGGAAGAACAAGUGCUAGUUGAAUAAGCUGACACCUUGACGGUACCUAACCAGAAAGCCACGGCUAACUACGUGCCAGCCGCCGCGGUAA